GAGUUUGAUCGUGGCUCAGGACGAACGCUGGCGGCGUGCUUAACACAUGCAAGUCGAACGGUGAUGACGGGGCUUGCUCUGUCUGAUCAGUGGCGAACGGGUGAGUAACACGUGAGUAACCUGCCCCCGACUCUGGAAUAACCGUGGGAAACGACGGCUAAUACCGGAUAUGAGACGCAUGGGCAUCUGUGUGUCUAGGAAAGAUUUA
rnacentral:rRNA from 1 species